rnacentral:lncRNA from 1 species
AAAAAAGGAGAGAGAGAGAGAGAGAGAGAGAGAAAGAGGAAGACAGAGAAAAAGAGAGAGAGAUCUUCAAGCAACGUCUUUGAAAAACUCCCUUCAAAAACCAGUCCAAAACUCCUCCUAAAACACUGGAAGUUCAACUUCAGAUCUGCUGCAAGGACAAUACCUGACCCAAAGUGUGAAGUGGCAGGGGCUCGUGGACAGCCACAAGUGAGGAGAGCACCUCUCUCACCCGAGCACUUCUCUCCUACUGGCUUCUUCACUCCUUCCAGAUCUAAGCUACAGGCAGAAAUCAUCAAGCAGCUGACUACCUCUUGGGCUUCUCUCCUUCCUCAAGAAAAUCAGACUGCUUGUGUACCAGAGGCUGCUAAAGCGGGUGUGGAUGUAGGAAGUCCAUUCUGAAGGAGUUCUCAGGAACUCCCUUCCUGUCAUAACGAGUUGCAAUCAUAGCCAUAUUAUUUAAUUCAAUGCCAUUGUUUUAGCCAGUUAAAAUGCAAUGAAAUCAGAGUGAAAUUAUCUAGGCCAUUGUAGUUGUCCGAGCCAAGUAAAGGCCAAAGAGCAAAGGAGUGGCAUAAAUAAUGCCAAGAAGUUAAAAUGUAAAUAUUCUUUCAUUUGAAUAAGUUAAACUGUUGUUAUCAAUAUGAUUUGAAGAAAAGUUUUAAAAAUAAGUGAACAUUUGGCAGCAUCCUUCAAAAUGGAGAGGAAAUCCUGCUGCAAUCCUGUUUGCUCAUAGUGCUCCCCUGCUGGCAAGCAGAACAGCAGGAGCGCUUCUUGGUGGAGAGCUGGUUUGUGGGUUCAAGGCAGGUAAAGCUGCUGCAGAAACCUUAUUAGAGAUCAGAAGGGCAGUUCACAAGCUUUGAUUAUUUUACCUCGGUUGUUGUGACUUUUAUAUGCUCAUUUGUAAUGUAAGGAACACAAAGAGAUUUUUUUUAAGGGAUAAGCAACCAGUAACAUCAGUUAGCAUACCAGACGGCACUUCUUCUGUGCCAUUUACUUUCAAAAUCGUUCCUUUCUCCUUUUGUUCAAAUACAGCCCACUGCAGAUGAAAUUGUAUGCCUGUCUUCUGCAGUUUAAACCUUUGUUUAUGCACUAAUGAAUCUAACUAGGUGUCACAGCAGACUCUAACGAGCAUCACUCGCUUUCAUUAAACUCUACAGCUUGCUAUUAUACACUUUGGAAGAUUCGUUGGUUUAUUCAUAGCAAUCACUGGAUAUUCUUUUUCAUUAGAUAGAUAAUAGUUUUCCCUAUUGUUGACUUCUGUUACUAAGAGAACUAUGAAAUGUUAAUACUGGCCUCAAAACCCAAGGCAAAACUACCCUCAAUACUAUCUGAAACGCAACCACUUGCAUAACAAAUGGUCUUAAAUAUCUAAGCACAAACAACUUGAAAUUUUAUUCAUUUAUUUAUGAAGAAGUGAAAGAAAGAAAAAUCAAGAAGGUGCCUCUGUAUAGCCUGCCUGUCCAUUUUACCUUGUUAACUGAAUUUCUCUUAGUUAAUUUAAGCAGUAGCUUAAAAUAAACUGUAAACAACUGUUAAGAACUGUCCUAUU